UCAUCUACAUAUGUAGCUGCACCUGAUGGAACUUAUUUUGCUUGCUCUAAGGGACUCACCACCCUUUUUUCCACCUUUCAGUUUCUAGAGAAUAAAGAUUAUUGCGUUUUGGUACAGCUUUUGCCUCAAAUCAAAUACUAUUCAGGGGAGAUCCUGGUCUCACAGGCACAGCGCAGAGUGCUGAGAGAGCCUGUCUCUAUGACCAUUGCCCUUAUGCUGGGGAUUGGUGGCCUUGUUGCCGGUAUAGGAACCGGAACAGCUGCCCUUGUACAAAACAAUCAACUGUUGCAAUUACAAAUAGCUAUGAACACGGAUCUUGAGGCCAUAGAAAGAUCCAUCAGUGCUCUGGAAAAAUCGCUGACCUCUCUAUCCGAGGUGGUUUUGCAAAAUAGAAGAGGGCUGGAUCUCCUGUUCCUUAAGGAAGGUGGCCUUUGCGCUGCUUUAAGGGAAGAAUGUUGUUUCUAUGCUGACCAUACUGGCAUUGUCAAAGAGUCUAUGGAAAUCCUGAGAGAACGGUUGGCUAAAAGAAAGAGAGAGUUUGAGAACCAAAAAGGAUGGUUCUCAAAUUUGCUACAGGGAUCCCCCUGGUUGUCUACUUUACUCCCAACUAUUAUAGCCCCCUUAAUUGUUUUCCUAUUGCUUCUUUCUUUUGGCCCAUGGGCCCUUCAACGGCUAACCCAGCUUAUUAAAAGACAAAUUGAUUCGGCCUUACCUAAAAGUAUUUCGGUCCAUUACCACAAAUUAGUAGCAGCUGACCCGGGGGAGGAGCGAGGGUCGCAGCAAGAGCUCAGGUUCAGUAAUCAAGGACUCAGGUUUAAUAACUCAAGAUUGAUGCAGCUGUAA